rnacentral:rRNA from 1 species
AGAACGAACGCUGGCGGCAUGCCUAAUACAUGCAAGUCGAACGAACACUUCGGUGUUAGUGGCGCACGGGUGCGUAACGCGUGGGAAUCUGCCCUUGGGUUCGGAAUAACAGUUGGAAACGACUGCUAAUACCGGACGAUAUCGAAAGAUCAAAGAUUUAUCGCCCAGGGAUGAGCCCGCGUAGGAUUAGCUAGUUGGUGAGGUAAAGGCU